rnacentral:ncRNA from 1 species
GCGGGAGAGGUUCGCGAAUUCCCUCUAUAAAAAACUAAUAAUCA